rnacentral:rRNA from 1 species
CUACGGGCCGCUCCAGUGAGGAAUAUUGCACAAUGGGGGGAACCCUGAUGCAGCAACGCCGCGUGGAGGACGACGCAUUUCGGUGUGUAAACUCCUUUUAUAUGUCAAGAAAAUGACGGUAGCAUAUGAAUAAGCACCGGCUAACUCCGUGCCAGCAGCCGCGGUAAUACGGAGGGUGCAAGCGUUACUCGGAAUCACUGGGCGUAAAGGACGCGUAGGCGGGUUGGAAAGUCAGGUGUGAAAUCCUACAGCUUAACUGUAGAACUGCACUUGAAACUUCUAAUCUAGAGUAUGGGAGGGGGAGAUGGAAUUAGUGGUGUAGGGGUAAUAUCCGUAGAUAUCACUAGGAAUACCUAAAGCGAAGGCGAUCUCCUGGAACAUUACUGACGCUAAGGCGUGAAAGCGUGGGGAGCAAACAGGAUUAGAUACCCCUGUAGUC